rnacentral:rRNA from 1 species
CCUACGGGAGGCAGCAGUGAGGAAUAUUGGUCAAUGGGCGCGAGCCUGAACCAGCCAAGUAGCGUGAAGGAUGACUGCCCUACGGGUUGUAAACUUCUUUUGUCAGGGAGCAAUUGGCGCUACGUGUAGCGUUAUCGAGAGUACCUGAAGAAAAAGCAUCGGCUAACUCCGUGCCAGCAGCCGCGGUAAUACGGAGGAUGCGAGCGUUAUCCGGAUGUAUUGGGUUUAAAGGGUGCGUAGGCGGAAUGCCAAGUCAGCGGUAAAAUCGCGGGGCUCAACCUCGCUCCGCCGUUGAAACUGGCGGUCUGGAGUGGGCGAGAAGUAUGCGGAAUGCGUGGUGUAGCGGUGAAAUGCAUAGAUAUCACGCAGAACUCCGAUUGCGAAGGCAGCAUACCGGCGCCCAACUGACGCUGAAGCACGAAAGCGUGGGUAUCGAACAGGAUUAGAUACCCGGGUAGUC